rnacentral:rRNA from 1 species
AUUCCAGCUCCAAUAGCGUAUAUUUAAGUUGUUGCAGUUAAAAAGCUCGUAGUUGGAUUUCGGGUGGGCUGCGCCGGUCUCCUAACGGUUGUACUGGCGACGCCUGCCUUGCUGCCGGGGACGGGCUCCUGCCUUUACUGUCGGGACCCGGAAUCGGCGACGUUACUUUGAGUAAAUUAGAGUGUUCAAAGCAAGCCUACGCUCUGAAUAUAAUAGCAUGGGAUAACACGACAGGACUCUGGCCUAUCGUGUUGGUCUGUAGGACCAGAGUAAUGAUUAAGAGGGACAGUCGGGGGCAUUCGUAUUCCGUUGUCUGAGGUGAAAUUCUUGGAUUUACGGAAGACGAACGUCUGCGAAAGCAUUUGCCAAGGAUGUUUUCAUCA